rnacentral:rRNA from 1 species
ACGUUGGAGGUUCGUCCUUCAGUGUCGCAGCUAACGCGUGAAGCAUUCCGCCUGGGGAGUACGGUCGCAAGAUUAAAACUCAAAGGAAUUGACGGGGGCCUGCACAAGCGGUGGAGCAUGUGGUUUAAUUCGACGCAACGCGCAAAACCUUACCAGCUUUUGACAUAGGGACAGAAGGCAUCAGAGAUGAAGCCUGCGGUUCGGCCGGGUCCCGUACAGGUGCUGCAUGGCUGUCGUCAGCUCGUGUCGUGAGAUGUUGGGUUAAGUCCCGCAACGAGCGCAACCCUCGUUCUUAGUUGCCAGCAGUUCGGCUGGGGACUCUAAGAAAACUGCCGGUGACAAGCCGGAGGAAGGUGGGGAUGAUGUCAGGUCCUCAUGGCCCUUAUGGGCUGGGCUACACACGUGCUACAAUGGCGAUCACAAUGAGAAGCAAGGGGGUGA